GUGUCAGCAGCCGCGGUAAUACAGAGGGUGCGAGCGUUGUCCGGAAUUACUGGGCGUAAAGGGCGCGUAGGCGGCCUGAUAAGUCGGGGGUGAAAGUCAGCGGCUCAACCGCUGGACUGCCUUCGAGACUGUCGGGCUCGAGCAUGGUAGAGGCUGGCGGAAUUCCCGGUGUAGCGGUGGAAUGCGUAGAGAUCGGGAAGAACAUCGGUGGCGAAGGCGGCCAGCUGGGCCAUUGCUGACGCUGAGGCGCGACAGCGUGGGGAGCAAACAGGAUUAGAUACCCUCGUAGUCC
rnacentral:rRNA from 1 species